rnacentral:lncRNA from 1 species
UCUAAAUUUGGCAAUCCUGGAAAUCCUAAAACCGCAUGAAGUAGAUACAGUCAUCGGCUAGCAGCAAGAAAUAUCGUUGCCCUCUGUGCGUCAGUGGAGUGAUUAGCCUGCAAAGGUGGCCGUGGACGAGCUCCAGCGAGAUACUUGCUUGCUGCCUUAGGAAAGGAGCUUCCUCUGCUUCCCCACCAACCAUGUAUCUGCUCCCUUGCCAUCCACCCGAGCACGUCGAAGCUCAGGUGCUCAAAGUGGGCAUGCCGCAACCACGGCUCCUCGUUGUACCACGCCACCAAGCACACUAGCUGCACAAUGUUCAGAUCAACCAGGUAGAGGCGGUUCUUGGAGAACUUUAUCUUGGCGAGGAGAAUAUGCUCGUAACCGUGGAUGCAUAUGAUGAAUUGAUGAUGCUAUUGUCGAGGACUUGGCACCUGCCUUCGUCCAUCUGCCCGAUGCUAACAAUGCUUGGGCAAAGCCUCAGGAUAAUACACAUCUGUCAGCGCCUGAUGCUCGUUGUUCUGGCACUUCGCCUUCCUCGGUUCUGUAGUGCUCUGCUACACCAUAGACCAUAGAGUAUUUAUACAAUGCUAGUACCAACUAUAAGGUACACUAGUUUAUGGGUGAUCUCAGCCCCAACUACUUCUAUAUAUGUCUGUCUGAUGCAUCCCACUACAUAGAUUGGCCUGUUGCCAUGCUAAUACAGCACCCUGGGUGAACAAUAACAGCUGACCAAAUGCCAACUCCACGCUGCAGCAAAACAAUCAAGGAGAGCAGCAUAUUAUCUUACAAGGCUUCUAGCUCUUUUAUCCGAUUGAAAACACUAAGUUCAGAGACAUUAUAUUGCAGCUCUUUUAUCGAACCUAGAUGCCCACCCUGUCUACAAACUACAGCAGACAGCUCGACACCAGUCCUCUCGGCGUACUUGUGAACUUGUGGUUAAGGAAAAAGAAUUUCCUGGAGCUUGAAGCUACAGAAGUAAAAAAAAAAUGCAUAGCACACGACACAGCACGUAAGAAACUACGGAAGGGAUACCUGCCAGCAACAAGAACAGGACGGAAACACAUGCUCCCAACUACUCCUGUAUGGCUGCCUGAUGCAUGCCACUACACAGAUUGACCUGUUGCCAUACUACUACAGCACCCUUGAUGGACAGCAAGAGCUGACCAAAUGACAACUCCACGCUACAACAAAAUAUUCAAGAAGAGCAGCAAAUUUGCUCAGACCCAAAUUGCAGUCAGAAAACGAAGUUUAGAAAACACAAAGUUCAGAAAAGAAUCACAGACCUAGAUGCCCAUCCUGUCUACAAACUACAGCAGACAGCUAGACACCAGUCCUCUCGGGCUCUCGGCAUACUUGUGGAGUUGUGGUUGAGGAAAAAAGAAUUUCCUGGAGCUUGAAGCUACAGAAGCACAUAAAAAUGCAGACCACACAGCAGAGCACUUAAGAAAGGUAUACCUGCCAGCAACAAGCACAGGACGGAAGCACAAAUUUAAUUUAGAAACAUGUCUUGGCCAAUAUUCUUACUUUCUUCAAAGAAAGAUAGUAAAGGUAUGAGACAUUCCAUAUUCUAAUUAGCCUCACGUAGGACUAAUUGCCACAUGAAAAGUAAAAGCCAUAGCCACAGUUAGUUACUUCAUUCUGUCGGAGAAAUACACAUUGGCAAUUGUUCACAAUCAAGGAAUGAUAUAAAAAGUGAAAUAGCGGAGCAAAUGCAAGCGGAAAAAACAGGGAACCGCGGGGACAACAGCAUUAGCUGACCCAUUCGCUUCUGACUUGAUCCUGAAUUCUGGAGCUUCAAGAGGAGAGAGCGUCGCGUUGGGGUGACAUCGAGGUGCCUGUUUAGAACAUAAAAUGUUUUAAAUAUUGAGAAACUCAUCAAUUGUGCUGGAAAAUGAAUAAGUAGAACCUGUACCUUCUCAUUUAUUUCAAGUGGCAAGUCUAAAGAAGCAAGUUUGGUAUUAGCAGUUGAUGUGCGUCCGGCGAAGGUGCGAAAUCUUUGGCCAGCUUUCCCCAUCAGGUUCUUGGCAGUUCUUCUUCAAGACGGGGCAAUUUACUAUACUUAUGCGCUGGAGGGAGGACGGCAUAUCUGGUAAAGAUGCUAUGUUGGGGCAACACCCUAUAGAAAGACUCUCCAGACUUGAGAGGGAUUUUAGAUUUCUUGGUAGGGACUCCGUUUUGCAAUACCAAAAUCCCAGGCACUUGACAGAUGAGAGAUUUGCAGGCUCUUCAAAUGAAACCGACGGUUCUUUGCAAUAUGAAAGAUCAAGAUUCGGUGGGACUGUAAAUCCUUCAGCCAUGAGCAUGUGGUUGAGCAAUACGGAGGUACUAACCGUGAGCGAUUCCUGGACACGAAACUGUGAGAUGCACUUGACAGUGUGGUUUGCAACAUCUUGUAGAGUUAGGUACUUAAGGUGCAGGGCAGACAAGCCUUCAACAGAGUAAAGAUCAGGGAGACCAUUUAGACGUAAUGAUUCAAGGGAGGUCAGGUGGCCAAUCGAUAAGGAUGGGGAGCUUCUGCAGACAUCAAAGGAAAGAUGUUUCAGAUGUGGCAAGCCAUUAAUGAACGAAUCAGCUGCAAGAAUGCAGCCACGGAUGUGGAGGUCUCCAUCAAGGUUCAACGGCAUUAGUUCUGCUCCACGUGCUAGCUCUAAAAAAGGACAAUCCGAACAGUAAAAAAAGGAAAGAGAUGGAGCAGCACGUAAGCCCCCCAUUGAUUUGAGACACAAACAACCUGUUACAACCAACGUGUCAAGCUUUGUCAAAUGCUCAAACACCUUUUCUGAUGGAAGUGUAGUUAAUGCCAUAUUAUAUUUCAAUUUUAAAUUGCUCAGUGAAGUGAGGCCACCAAGGCAAAUAGCUAAAGCUUCAUCUGUAAUACUGCAUGAAGAAAGAGAAAGUUCACAGAGUCUUGACGGUAGAACCAAUGGCAUGUCCAUGGUCCUUCCAUAAAUGAAUCUUAUCCUCUGCUCAUGGCAAAAGAGCCAUGCCUUGAUGAUGUUUUCUUUCAUCCAUACUUUAUCUUCUCUUUCUUCCAGACCACUUUCAAUAAUUUGAAGAUGCUUUGAUAUAUCAUCAUCCAUCAUCAAUGUCAUCAAUUGCUUCAGAGAUGAAUAGUCUUUCGACAGUACUCUCCUAACUUUUCCUGAAUCCACCUCCCACGUCAAUGCAAGUUUAGAUGCCAGGUCGUCUGCCUUCAUUAUUAUAUUUUCCCUCAAGUCAUGCUGUCCUAGCUCAUUGUUGGUGAUAAACAUAAGCAGUGGGCAAUAAUCAAUUGAUAAAUCUGUAAGGCCUACUGGAAGAUUAGAUAGUUCCUUCAAAUUUGGAACAAUGUUUAUACGCAACCUAGAGCAAUUCCGAACGAGCUCUGUAUCUGGUGGUAGGCCUUCUAGCAAACUGCAAUUACUAAGCUCAAAACUUUCCAAAUUCUCAAAAUAGGAUCGCUCUAGUAACCACCCAGGAUAUGUAUCAGAUCUGUAACCUUCGAUUGUGAGCUUACUCAGUUGGGGUGGCGGUCGCAGACCCUCUAGAACAUCCAAAUGCAGAAUAUUCAUUGCAUCCAUGCCAUUCUCAGAACUCCACUCAAGUAUCAACUCUUUAAGGCGACUUUUUAGAUAUAGCUUCGACGCUAAGGCUUCAUCCUUUCCAAUGACAUUCUCAAGAUUUUGUACAUGUAAACUGCCGCCAAGCUCAUUCAAGUCCUUUAGCUGUCGCAACUCAUAUCCUUGCUUCUUUUGCACAGAAAAGUCAUAUAUCUGUUGUAAAGAAGUAAGCUUGCCAAUGUUGGGAAUUUGGUCCUUAUACCCUCGCAGAUACCGUAACUUACUUAAAUUGCAAACUUUGUUAGGCAACCUCUCCACCAUGCCGUUUAGCUGAAGUAGUUGUAAGUGCCAAAGAGCACAUAAUGAUCUAGGCAAUUCAAACACUGAUGUUCUGUUGAGGUCCAAAUACCGAAGGUGCUUCAGCUCACCAACAGAUUUAGGUAACUUGUUGCUGUUGUGAAAUGACAAAGACAAUACACGCAACUUCUUCAAGUUCCACAGCAUCUGAUCAAAAAUAAUACUUGCAUUAUCCAUUAGUGAAUCGAUGCAGAUAACAGUGCGUAAAUGAUGUAGCUUGUAGAUAAUUUCCUUAUGCUUUUGCAUACUUUCAACACGAACAGAUAGAUGUCGAACAGUGCAUGGUAUCUCUGUCACAUUAUCAUCUUCUAAUCUAAAGCAGUCUUCUCUAGAGAGUGACUCUGCAAAAUCAUGAAGGAUAUCAUGCAUGACAUAGUACCAACCGUACCUUUGGAAGAAAGAUACAGAGACCAUAUCAUUGAAGUAAUCCAUCCCAACCUCUUCUAACGUUCUCCUACUCAAAUUGCAUGAACCAAUAAAUCCUUCUGCCACCCAGAGGUGAACCAACUCUUCAGGUCUAUAUCCGUGACCUUUUGGAAACAAGCUGCAAUACAAGAAGCACCUUUGCAGACAUGGAUCUAACUUUUCGUAGCUCCAUAACAAAGAUGUGAAGGGAUCACUUAAAUCUCCAAGCUUUAGAGCAGCUUUCCACUCAGCAAUAUCCUUUCUCCUGCACAUUCGGGAACCAAGAACUUUUGCUGCCAAAGGGCAUUGUCCAAGCCUUUUAGCAAUCUCCUCUGCAGUGUCUUGCAGCUUCAUGCGUAACAGUUGGUCUUUGAUUUCUGCUCCAGAGAAAGCAUGGUGUUUAAAAAGAGCCAAAAACUCAGUAUCAUCCAUGUUUUCCAAAUGAAUGACAUGUUCUUGUUCACAACAAAUAGCGGCCGGAAGUGUUUCACUUCGAGAAGUCACCAAAACUUUGCUCCCUGACUGUUUAGAGACUAAUGGAGCAAGGAAUAACUCCCACUCUGUCUCAUUAUGAGAUUUUUCAAACCAAACAUCAUCCAAGACAAGCAGGAAUUUCUGUGACUCUUGUAGUAUAUCACGUAAUUUGCACUGGAGAGUAUCGAGAUUAUCAACACGUGGGCACUCCCCCUUUUUUGCGGACUCAAUGAUCUCCCUUGUGUGACGAUGCACAUCAAGUUUGCGCGAGAUACAGAUCCAUAUCCUGACAUCAAAGCAUUCUUCAAUCCUCUUGUCAUUAUAGACAUAUUGUGCUAAGGUAGACUUACCCAUUCCUCCCAAUCCAACAAUGGCCAAACCGGAGUACUUAGUUGAGCUUGCCUCAGCAGUUGUUGUCUUGCCGAGAAGAAAUUUUACUAUGCGAUCACGAUCGCUGUUGCGACCGAAAACCUUGGAAGUGGGAAGUGAUGUAGUUGUGGGAACAUGGGUAGGUGCUGCAGCUGGCCACUCGGUAGUAUUGCCAUGUGGCAAGCCAAGAAGAUCUCGAAGCUGCUUGGCUUCUGUCAGAAUAGCUUUGAGCUCGUUCAUCUUGCUAAUUAGCCUUCUGUUCCCAGGGAGCAAGUUGCGUGCCCUGUUCAUAGCAGAAUGAAAAGGCUUCAUGACAGUGGUUGCAGUGGAGGAGCUUUCAUCCUCUCGGAGCAGGGGACCUUUUCCGCUCUUGGCCUUGGCCUUAAGGACGUUGUACUCAUGCUCGUCCAGCAGGUCCUCGGCAUCAUAGAAGGCUUCUUUGAGACGCCGAAGCCAGGAUUCCAGCUUGCCCCUAUGGGGGCUCUUCUGGGCCGCUUGAAUCACCAACUCGAACUGUGGCAGGACAGUGUCUUGUAGUCGUUCGAUCUCACGCACCAUGUCCACACUGAGGUAAGCUGAAGCUUUAGUAAGAAGCUCCUUGACAAUCGGCGAUGCUGCCCACCUUAAGCCAACUAGCGCCAAGUCCGCCAUGAAGUUGGAGUAGUUUGUGCUUCCUCUUACUUUGUGAACCAAGAAAAAAAAAUAUGAAUGGGUGAACGAUGGGAAGUAGUAACAAAGCUGUUCUUUUUUUUUUCUUUUUCUUCUGCAGAAGGCAAGCAGCUGAUAAAAACCGCUACAGACUCGAGAAAACCUAGAAUUGGAAAGACGCGUAAAAUUAGUGAAUCUAAAUUGACAAACCAAUUAUUUUCCAGCAACGCAAAGGGGAAAUAGCAGUCGAGAUUGGUGAUCUUACACAAGUAAAGUAAAUCAUGGGCGCAUGGAGCUGGAAUCGACAACAAGCGCGAGGCCGCCGCAGUGCAACGCAGCAACGAGGGAAGCAGCUCCGUCGGGCAGGCAACGCAGGAUUGCUGGGAAAGGAAGCAGCGUGGAGAGGGGAAGGUGGGAAGAUUGGGAGCUGUUGGGGUGAAGGAGUCAGCAUCGACAGAGACAAAGGAAGCUUCUGGGUAGCUCUAAUGACAGGGACAGAUUCGGCUGUGUUGGGAUCUAUAGUAAUUCUGAAAAAAAAAACAGAGUAACAUAAUUAAUUUUUAAAAGGAUGUUUGGUUUCAAAAAUUAUUUAAUAUAAAAUAAGACGGUACAUCAUAGGUCUAUUCUAUAAAUUUGUUAUUUUUAAUAUUAAUACUAACUAAUUAAUUGUAAAGAAUGAGACGAUAAUGAAUCAACUCAUUUUAUUAUAUAACUAAAAAAUGCGAAGUGAGAAAAUAAUGGAAUAUCUCAUUACUUAAACCAAACACUCUGUUAAUUCUUACUCUCCUUUCGUAUUUGAGAGAGAGAGAAAAUAAUGUAAGUAUCUUUUUCUCUCUUUUAUUGAUUACUAGGUCAGUGCUCGUGCGUUGCAACGGGGACAUGGAAUAUCUCGAUAAUUUAUAUAUGCAUAUGUGUUAUACGAUUAUGAUAUGGAUGACAACAUUCACGAGCCAUCCGUAAUGAUAUCAAAGAGAAACCCAGGCCUGCAACCGAGAUGUUAUCCGGCAGCCCACACGGUAUGCGAACAAUGUAGGCUCCGCCACUCUCACCCAUCCCCUCUCCAUCAUUGGAACCGGCGCAUAACAUCUCGGUUGGCUCACCGUAGCUCCAGUCCACGUCAGGAGAUGACACUUGACGAGUGAAGAGGUCCACCCUGUACACUCCAGCCAUCAUUGACAUCGCUCUUGCAAGUUCGGCCACAUAUUUCACAUGUGAGAUUCAAAGAUCAAUCGCACUCAACCAUGAAAAACUUGACUCGACAUAAGGAACUUCUCCCAAGUAACUGACCAAUGAUGUUUACCUGGCCACCUGUAUCAGAAUCACGACCUAGUUCCAUGUUUUCUCCACGAACAAGACCAUGCAUGCUGCAGUCAAAAAGGCAGUCAACAAAGAAACAGCUUGUGAAAAUCCAGAGGUUUAACUGUAAAUUAUUUUUAUAAGAAAAAAUACCAAAUUUUCUACUCCUACGAUGUGCAAAGUGCAAAGAAAACUAAGGCUAGAGGCAUUUUUUUAAGAAACGACGGCAAAAGCUUUCCAUGGAUUUUAUUAGACGUAGAAUAAAAAAACUAUAGCCAUAAAAAAGGCUAGAGACAUUUCAUUACGAGAUAUAUAUAUGGUUUAGCAAUUUAGCACAACAUAGAACGAAACAAUGUGCAAGUGGGUAGACCUGAUGAGCACAAUGUAAAGCUUCUUCUCCUUAUUGUCGUCAGACCAGACGGUAAGGUCAGAGAAGUUCCUCUGGAACUUCUUCUUGGUCGUCUCAACCGGCGCAAACUCGUCGAUGGUGUCUCCCUUCUCGCCUUCUGACAGAUCCUCGGCCAGGUCCUCCGUCGCCUCACGACGCACCUGCUCCUGUUCCUUCCUUCUUGCCGAGAUUGCACCGGUUAUGUGGGGAAAGAGUAAUAAAAAAAUGAGAAACAAGUAACGUAAGCAGGUUAAAAAUGAAAGCAACUAAAAGAAACAGUAAAAUACUAAAGAAUUGAACAUUAUUGUUCUCGUGGACCAAGACAUGGUAGCAAGAAUAAUUAAGCAAAACAAAAAUAAUAAAAAAUCCUGCUGCAUAUAUGCAUGAUAAGAUAAUAAAUGCUGCUGGAAAAGCAGACUAAGAAAAUAACAUGACUAACCUUUGUAUCUAAUGCUGGAUGAGAAACAGGGGCGUCAGAGUUUUCUUGCCCAUCACAGCUAGCAUCAGCCAAUGGUUGCUCAAACCCAUCUUGCAGCCUGUGUACUUUAGACAUUUCAAUUGUCUUGGUUGCAACUUCAGCCUCCAAUUUAGCACCAUUUAUUGGAUCAGUAGAUAUAUUACUAAACUGACCAUCUAAGCUCUGAGCAUUUUCAAUCGAUACAUUUCCAGUUGAUACAUCAUGCUCAUGUUCUUAUAAAGCAUGACUAUAGGUGCAUCCUAUAAAGCAUCCAUGAGGAUUGUAUGCUAUUAGAGUUACUAUUGUUCCAGAGGAGGGGGUGGUGGCAGUUUCCCCUCCAUGAGCCUCUGCCCCUGUGCAUCAGUUCUGUAGGUCUCUCGUCUAAAUUGCUUCUAUCUGCUAGAAGUUAACUAAUUAAAUGGCAUACAUCUUUUGCCAGCUUUUGUUGAUAAUUUGUUAAACAUUAAAGUCUCAUGUUCUGAACAUAUUCUCCAGAACAAAGCUGAGACUUGUGGUGAACUUUAUUUUCCUGCAUUGAGUUUGAAACUAAAGCUUGCUGGUGAAGACAUGGCCAAAUUUGCCAGAUGCAUGUGAGAUGUGGAGUCAGGAAAAUUGAAAGUUGAUCAUUUUCAAAUUGCGGGUUUUUAAUUAACAAAUGCAUGAUUCUUCUGCUUUUACACCUCAAAACCACUAUAUUAAGGAAGCUUGUACAUAAUACAUGUUUUAACAGGUGGACAAAUGAAAGUACCUGCAGUAUUUAUUUGCCUUCAUUAGAGAGUAGGUAACAGUCAUGUUCUUUUUGCUUGUUGUAGCUAUGUACUUCAGUGAAGAUUGGAGUAAUGCCUUGUCAUUUAAAAGACUCGCCAAGUAGAACCCAAAAUACAUAAGUUAUUGAGCAACAUGUAUGUCAUUUAAAAUUUGUAUUCCUUGUUUGAGCUCAGUUUGCUAAUUUGAGUACACAUACCUGCAAGCAAAAAAAUAUGGAUCAACUGCAACAUUAAAGUAGUUAUAUGCAACAAGUUAGCUACUUGAAACCAUUACUUUGAAAAUGAGACUGCCAGUAUCAGCAAGCGAGCGACUUGUGUUUUACCUCGCGCAUGGAGCAAUCCAUUUCCAUCAACCAUGAGCAACUGCAACAGGGCAGAAUGGCAAAACCUUAGAAAGGGCAUGGGUAAAUACAUAGAAGAUGCUGGUGAUUAUGCAAGACAUCUCAUAAACUAAAAUGAUAAAUAGUCAAGAAAAGCAAUUGAUUGAGCAGUAAAAUUCUUCAAAUGUGUAGCUCCGGUGGUCAUUAAGUGUAUUUACAUGUUAAGAAAUCAGAAAUCAGAUCCGAACACAUAAAGCAGGGCAGAGAAUGGGUGCAGGGGCGUACAUGGUUGGUGCUCGUUGAGAGCACCUAGAGGGGGGGUGAAUAGGUGAUCCUGUAAACUUCAGAACUUAAGCCACAAAACUUUGAUUAAGUGUUAGCACAGUUAAUGCCAAGUGGCUAGAGAGAAGUUCUUGCACAAUAUGAUAAUCACAAGUAGUUCAACACAGAGAAGACACAGUGAUUUAUCCCGUGGUUCGGCCAAGUACAAAACUUGCCUACUCCACGUUGUGGCGUCCCAACGGACGAGAGUUGCACUCAACUCCUCUCAAGUGAUCCAAUGAUCAACUUGAAUACCACAGUGUUAUGCUUUUCUUUCAAUAUCCCGUUUGCGAGGAAUCUUCACAACUUGGAGUCUCUCGCCCUUACACUUGAGAUUCACAAAGAAAUACGGAGUAAGGGAGGGAAGCAACACACACAAAUCCACAGCAAAACGCGCACACACACGGCCAAGAGUCGAGCUCAAAAGACUAUCUCAAGGUUCUCACAAGAACGGAGCUCGAAUCACUUAGAAUGACAAUCGGAUGCGCAAAGACUGAGUGUGGAUGAUCAGGAAUGCUCUAAGGUUGCUUGGUUGUCUCCUCCAUGCGCCUAGGGGUCCCUUUUAUAGCCCCAAGGCAGCUAGGAGCCGUUGAGAGCAAUUCCAGAAGGUCAAUCUUGCCUUCUUUCGUCGGGCGCACCGGACAGUCCGGUGCACACCGGACACUGUCCGGUGCCCGAUUUACUUCCAUAAACAGCGCAGCCGACCGUUGCCGACCGUUGCAGAUCUGGCGCACCGGACAGUCCGGUGCACACCGGACAGUCCGGUGCCCCAUUCCGACCGUUGGCUCGGCCACGUGUCGCGCGCCGAUCGCGCGGCCGACCGUUGGCCCGGCCGACCGUUGGCUCACCGGACAGUCUGGUGCACACCGGACAGUCCGGUGCACACCGGACAGUCCGGUGAAUUUUAGCCGAAGUCGCCGGAGAAAAACCCGAGAGCGGCUGGUUUGCUCCGCGCUGGUCUGGCGCACCGGACACUGUCCGGUGCACACCGGACAGACCGGUGCCCCAGCCCGAAGCAGCCCUCCACUCCUCUUCUUCUUCCUGGUACUAAGGCUUAGAAACAUACCUUAACUUGUGAUUUGCACUUUGUUCAUCCAUGGGCAUAUUUUCACAUUUAAGCACUUGUGUUUGCACUCAAUCACCAAAAUACUUAGAAAUGGCCCAAAGGCACAUUUCCCUUUCAAUCUCCCCCUUUUUGGUGAUUUAUGCCAACACAACAUAAAGCAAGUGGAACAAGUGCAAAACUACUUCAAAUAAAAACUAACUUUGAGUUUUAUUCAAUUUUGGCAUAUAUGGAUCAUCCUUUGCCACCACUUGGUUUGUUUUUUGCAAAUCAAACUCAAAUCUCUAUCUCUAAGUCAAACACACAUGUUGAAGCAUAAAGAGAGUCAUUCCAAAGAAAUUUGACCACGGAUUUCAAAAACUCCCCCUUUUUCCCAUAAUCAACAUUUCUCCCCACAAGAAGCCAACUUUUGACAAAAGAGACAAUACAAGAGUUUUGACAAACCAAAGGCUCUAUUAUACUUUUUCAAAAUUUCUCAAAAUUUCUCAAGUGGUAGCUGAUCCAUUUAUUGCUUUGGCCUUUAUUUUCUCCCCCUUUGGCAUCAAGCACCAAAACGGGAUCAAUCUUGGCCCUGGAACCCCAUUGCCUCACCAAAAUUUUCAAUUAAGAGCAAAUGGCAAUAAGAGUUCAUGAGAUGAACUUGGAAGUAAUUACCCUCUCAUCGGAGUGCAGUGGAAGUCUUUCAUGGUCCAAGUCCACCUUUUCCCUUUCAAUUCUCCUUCGAGACUAGACCAAGCAAACUCAAGCAUAUGGUUAGUCUCAAAGGGUCAAGUUGUAACACAUCUCCCCCUAAACAUGUGCAUCACUUUGCAAUGGACUUGUGAGGUCCAGGGAGUGUUUGUACAACUUGAGCACCACAAUAAGCAACAAAAUGCAGAAUGAACAUGAUCAAGGGCAUAAACACAUGUAUGCUACAAUUCAAUCCAAGUUCCGCGAAUCUAAGACAUUUAGCUCACUUUGCAGCCUGCAAAAGGUCUUCUCAUCUAGAGGCUUGGUAAAGAUAUCGGCUAGCUGGUUCUCGGUGCUAACAUGAAACACUUCGAUAUCUCCCUUUUGCUGGUGGUCUCUCAAAAAGUGAUGCCGGAUGUCUAUGUGCUUUGUGCGGCUGUGCUCAACAGGAUUCUCCGCCAUGCGGAUAGCACUCUCAUUGUCACAUAGGAGUGGGACUUUGCUCAGAUUGUAGCCAAAGUCCCGGAGGGUUUGCCUCAUCCAAAGUAGUUGCGCGCAACACUGACCUGCGGCAACGUACUCGGCCUCAGCGGUGGAUAGGGCAACGGAGGUUUGUUUCUUAGAGUUCCAUGACACCAGGGACCUUCCUAAGAAUUGGCACGUCCCCGAUGUACUCUUCCUAUCGACCUUACAUCCAGCAUAGUCGGAGUCUGAGUAUCCAACUAAGUCAAAGGUAGACCCCUUUGGAUACCAGAGCCCGAAGCAAGGCGUAGCAACCAAAUAUCUAAGAAUUCGCUUCACCGCCACUAAGUGACAUUCCUUAGGAUCGGAUUGAAAUCUAGCACACAUGCAUACACUAAGCAUAAUAUCCGGUCUACUAGCACAUAAGUAAAGCAAAGAACCUAUCAUUGACCGGUAUGCUUUUUGAUCAACGGACUUACCUCCUUUGUUGAGGUCGGUGUGUCCGUCGGUCCCCAUCGGUGUCUUUGCGGGCUUGGCGUCCUUCAUCCCAAACCGCUUUAGCAGAUCUUGUGUGUACUUUGUUUGGGAGAUGAAGGUGCCGUCCUUGAGUUGCUUCACUUGGAACCCAAGGAAGUAGUUCAACUCGCCCAUCAUCGACAUCUCGAACUUCUGCGUCAUCACCCUGCUAAACUCUUCACAAGACUUUUGGUUAGUAGAACCAAAUAUUAUGUCAUCGACAUAAAUUUGGCACACAAACAAAUCACCAUCACAUGUCUUUGUAAAAAGAGUUGGAUCGGCUUUCCCAACCUUGAAAGCAUUAACAAUUAAGAAAUCUCUAAGGCAUUCAUACCAUGCUCUUGGGGCUUGCUUAAGUCCAUAGAGCGCCUUAGAGAGCUUACACACAUGGUCGGGGUACCGUUCAUCCUCACUAGAUUCAUCAUCACUAGAAGAAUCAUAAGUAUUAGCAUUACGAGUGAUUACCUUCUUUUCCCUUGCCAUGAGGCAAGUGUGAUGCUCGUUGGGGAAGAGAGCCGAUUUGUUGAAGGCAGUGGCGGCGAGUCCCUCAUUGUCGGAGUCGGAGGAGGAGCAAUCCGAAUCCCACUCCUUGCCGAGAUGCGCCUCGCCCUUGGCCUUCUUGUAAUUCUUCUUCUUUUCCCUCUUGUUUCCCUGUUCCUGGUCACUGUCGUUAUCGGGGCAGUUAGCGAUAAAAUGACCAAUCUUACCGCACUUGAAGCAUGAGCGCUUCCCCUUUGUCUUGUUCUUGCUUGGCUGCCCCUUGUGACCCUUCAGCACCGUCUUGAAUCUUUUGAUGAUAAGAGCCAUCUCUUCAUCAUUGAGCCCGGCCGCCUCAACUUGCGCCACCUUGCUAGGUAGCGACUCCUUGCUCCUUGUUGCCUUUAGAGCAAUGGGUUGAGACUCGUGGAGUGGACCGUUCAACGCGUCGUCGACGUAUCUUGCCUCCUUGAUCAUCAUCCGCCCGCUCACGAAUUUUCCAAGUACUUCUUCGGGCGUCAUUAUCGUGUACCUGGGAUUCUCACGAAUAUUGUUCACGAGAUGAGGAUCAAGAACGGUAAAUGACCUGAGCAUUAGGCGGACGACGUCGUGAUCCGUCCAACGCGUGCUUCCGUAGCUCCUUAUCUUGUUGAUAAGGGUCUUGAGCCGGUUGUAAGUUUGAGUUGGCUCUUCUCCCCUUAUCAUGGCGAAUCGUCCAAGCUCGCCCUCCACCAACUCCAUCUUGGUGAGCAUGGUGAUGUCGUUCCCCUCGUGAGAGAUCUUGAGGGUGUCCCAUAUCUGCUUGGCGUUGUCCAAGCCGCUCACCUUAUUGUACUCUUCCCUGCACAAAGAUGCUAAGAGAACAGUAGUAGCUUGUGCAUUUUUAUGAAUUUGUUCAUUGAUAAACAUAGGGCUAUCCGAGCUAUCAAAUUUCAUUCCAUUCUCUACAAUCUCCCAUAUGCUUGGAUGGAGAGAGAAUAAAUGACUACGCAUUUUGUGACUCCAAAAUCCGUAGUCCUCCCCAUCAAAGUGUGGAGGUUUACCAAGAGGAAUGGAGAGCAAAUGCGAAUUCGAACUAUGUGGAAUACGAGAAUAAUCAAAUGAAAAGUUCGAAUUGACCGUCUUCCUGUAGUCGUUGUCGUCGUCCUUUUGGGAAGAAGAGGACUCAUCGCUGUCGUAGUAGACGAUCUCCUUGAUGCGUCUUGUCUUCUUCUUCUUCCCAUCUUUUCGCUUGUGGCCCGAGCCCGAGUUGUUGGACUUGUCAUCCCUUGGCUCGUUGACGAAAGACUCCUUCUCCUUGUCGUUGAUCACAAUUCCCUUCCCCUUAGGAUCCAUCUCUUCGGGCGGUUAGUCCCUUUCUUGAAGAGAACGGCUCCGAUACCAAUUGAGAGCACCUAGAGGGGGGGGUGAAUAGGUGAUCCUGUAAACUUCAGAACUUAAGCCACAAAACUUUGAUUAAGUGUUAGCACAGUUAAUGCCAAGUGGCUAGAGAGAAGUUCUUGCACAAUAUGAUAAUCACAAGUAGUUCAACACAGAGAAGACACAGUGAUUUAUCCCGUGGUUCGGCCAAGUACAAAACUUGCCUACUCCACGUUGUGGCGUCCCAACGGACGAGAGUUGCACUCAACUCCUCUCAAGUGAUCCAAUGAUCAACUUGAAUACCACAGUGUUAUGCUUUUCUUUCAAUAUCCCGUUUGCGAGGAAUCUUCACAACUUGGAGUCUCUCGCCCUUACACUUGAGAUUCACAAAGAAAUACGGAGUAAGGGAGGGAAGCAACACACACAAAUCCACAGCAAAACGCGCACACACACGGCCAAGAGUCGAGCUCAAAAGACUAUCUCAAGGUUCUCACAAGAACGGAGCUCGAAUCACUUAGAAUGACAAUCGGAUGCGCAAAGACUGAGUGUGGAUGAUCAGGAAUGCUCUAAGGUUGCUUGGUUGUCUCCUCCAUGCGCCUAGGGGUCCCUUUUAUAGCCCCAAGGCAGCUAGGAGCCGUUGAGAGCAAUUCCAGAAGGUCAAUCUUGCCUUCUGUCGUCGGGCGCACCGGACAGUCCGGUGCACACCGGACACUGUCCGGUGCCCGAUUUACUUCCAUAAACAGCGCAGCCGACCGUUGCCGACCGUUGCAGAUCUGGCGCACCGGACAGUCCGGUGCACACCGGACAGUCCGGUGCCCCAUUCCGACCGUUGGCUCGGCCACGUGUCGCGCGCCGAUCGCCCGGCCGACCGUUGGCCCGGCCGACCGUUGGCUCACCGGACAGUCCGGUGCACACCGGACAGUCCGGUGAAUUUUAGCCGAAGUCGCCGGAGAAAAACCCGAAAGCGGCUGGUUUGCUCCACGCUGGUCUGGCGCACCGGACACUGUCCGGUGCACACCGGACAGUCCGGUGCCCCAGCCCGAAGCAGCCCUCCACUCCUCUUCUUCUUCCUGUUUCUAACACUUAGACAAGAAUAUUAGUACACAAAACCAAUGUACUAAGGCUUAGAAACAUACCUUAACUUGUGAUUUGCACUUUGUUCAUCCAUGGGCAUAUUUUCACAUUUAAGCACUUGUGUUUGCACUCAAUCACCAAAAUACUUAGAAAUGGCCCAAAGGCACAUUUCCCUUUCACUCGUCGCCGGUGAAGGACCUCGGCCUGGGCACCUCCUGUCGUAGGGAGCGCGGCGGAAUCAAGUAGUCUCGAUGGAGAUGGCCUAUCAAUCUUCUACAUCAUCCAGCUCCUCGAAAACAAAAUCCUGAACGCAUGGAGCAACAGAAGAUUAUUAGUAUAUACCAAACAGAGAUUAGUAUCUCCCAGUUUUGCUUGCGGUCCAGAAUUGGCUGGCAGUGACCACCUCGAGGAUGGUGUCAGUUCUGAACUCCUUCCUCCAUUUCAGCAUCUUCGACCACAUCAGCAUCGCCUUAUCGGCUUUGAACUUCCUGGCCUUGAGGAACCUGAACCAAACCGCGAGUUUCAAGCACUGGCAUAGUGGCAUUCAAUGAACCGCGUCCAAAUGCAGCGCAGGCAACGAAACAGAGGGGUGGGCUUUAAUGUGACCUGAGCAUCAUGUGGUAGUCACCGUGCUUGUCGGGGAGGAGGCCGUGCGCGGCGAGGCGGUCGUGGAAGGAGGCGACGGUGCGCUCCCCUGCCACCAGUACAAGAUUCAUAUUCCUCCAAUGAAUGUGGAUUCAGAGGAAGGCAUAAUUCCUUGUCAACAAAAAGGGGUUCUAUCGUCCAGCAACCCUCAAACUUCCUCAUAAAGCCAUCUCGCCCUUGCCUAAACUUUACCUGCAGAAGGUAUUGCAUGGAUCAAAAUAUCAGGCAAAGUAUUGCAUUUGCUAACCAAAGGAUAAUGUCAGUGUUUCAGUUUUUUACAGUGUGUUUUUUUCUGUUCUGAUCAACAAAAACAUGAACAAAAAAGGUGCCAGACCACCAAAAGAACUUCUAGAUUGCUGUCUGCUCCACUUCAAUAUCAAUAUUAAUAUAUAAGGAAAAAAAGAUGGACUUCCAUAUAAACUACCCAUAUUGAGCAUGUAUUGUCUUCUCUACUCUUACUUAGGGGGUGUUUGGUUUUAGGGACUAAUUUUUAGUCCCUCCAUUUUAUUCAACUUUAGUCCCUAAAUUGUCAAAUAUGGAAACUAAAAUAGAGUUAUAGUUUCCGUAUUUGGCAAUUUAUAGACUAAAAUAGAAUAAAAUGGAGGGACUAAAAAUUAGUCUCUAUUAACCAAACACUCCCUUAAUAGGAUGUACAUUUUAUGGUUAUGGAGUAAAGACGUUGGCAGCUUCCUCGCACAUUCUAAUUACUGAAACAGAGAUAAUCCAAAGCAUUACAAGUCACAUGAGGAAGAAUACCAAAACAAGUUCAAUGAUUCCAAAGGGUAACUCGCUGUUAAACUCAUCUCCAGGAAAAAAAUCUAUGUUCAACUUUUCAUGUAGUUCAGUUUUACAAUGGUGCUUUCCUUCAUUAUGCUCAAACACUAAAAAUCAUAAAAUUAGCAGAUUGAACUAACAGGGUUAGCAAUAGGUGAGCUACGGAAAAAUAUUGGAUGGCUUCCAUGUGAGUAGGGUCUAGAAAAGAAAUAACCGAGGCAAGUCUUAUCCCUAUAUAUAUUUUGCAGAGAGGCUACCAAUACAAAUAUUAUAUAGAGGGCGUUGCAGUUGAUUUUUCAUAGCUUGACAGUAGUCAACAUUUUUGGCUCAGCAGAUGGUAAUGCCUCGUCUCUAGCUGCUGCUGACGGGGUGAUACUGGGAUAGCCGUAGCUUUGCAGGAAUCCUCCUUAGAAUGUACAGGACAAGAGAUGAAGGGAGAAUCUCCACAAGCUGCAGAAAAGAUGGUAAGAAUAGUGGAACAUCAGAGUUAUAGUAAGUAUCAAUUCGAAGUUGCCACACUGGAGCAGGAGACUUAAUUUCGUGCUUUGCAAACUUCAUACAUACCAGGUAAUAGAACAAAUUCAGAACUGGAUGGUCAAGAACAUCGAGGUCAGCUUCCUCGUCAAAUGCAUUGAAGCACAUCUGCAAGAAAUGACAUUGCAAAUUUCGUGAACGAAAUGUAAGAGCUAAACCUGCACAACUUCCAGUGGACAGAAACCCUUACCAUUAUGCAUCGUGCCGAGAAACAACAGAAACAUAUGGUGGCAACUCUGCCGACUUCUCUCAGCUUUUGUUGCCUCCCUUUUGACUCAAUAGGAAAUAUUUUAGCAUGAUGAAAAGCCUGAACAAACAAGAAAUGUAAGUGCAUACUGCAUAUUUGGAUGUAGUGUGGUAGCUAGAUCAAACCCUGAACUUAAUGCAUAUCACUAAGUACUAACGUAACACUUUUUAGAUUUAUACUCCUGCGGUACAUGUUUUGCAGACAACCUAGUCAAUGCAAUUGGCUAACAAAAAGAUAAAAUAAAAAAUCCAUGCAUUGUUGUUCAUGACUUUAUUAAAGAAGCAUUGAGUAGUAUUCAUGAUCUUGCCUUCCUCCAUAGAUCAGAAAACCCAAGGCAGUGAAAAAAGAAAGACCAGUAAUCAUGAACUGCCAGAUAGUAAUAACUUAUAAAAUUGCUUACCUUAGAAAAACGACCACACCUGAAUACCUACCUACCAGUUACAGGAAGGUGCGCUGUUGUUUACCUUUCCACGAUAGACCACUGCGUCAGUAUUCUCAACAACUUCACAGCACAGGAGCUGCAUACCUACCUACCAGUUACAGGAAGACCAGUAAUCAUGUGUUGGUAAACCAAACCGCUAAUCAGCUGAAAGAAUUUUAUGCAUUUGAUGGUUUCUAUCAGGGCAAAAAGAACUUACCCCUGAUACUGUUUUCAACUGAGGGAUGUUUCAAGACGACAACAUCCAGCGUGAUUUUGACUCCCUGCUUUUGCUUGUCAGGUGGAUGAUCUAGAAAGAAAGGAACACGAGCAUGUUUGGCGGCUCAAGCACCACGCCUACAGAACUAAACACAUCUGAUGGUUCUCUUAUGAGUACACAACUGUUAUGACAAAAGGAUCAGCCCAUUCAAGAUGUCCCAUGUUAGGUUUAGGUUCUACAGAAGUAAAAAUAGUCGCUACUUCAUCAAGUUGAGCAAAAAGCAUAAAUACUGGACAACUUAGAGCUAGUCUUCAAUUGUACCUUCACCAUUCCAAAUAUAGACCUUUGGAUGUCAAGCAAAUUCUUUAAAUACAACAUCAGCGACCUGCAAACAGAUAGUUAAACUAUCAAGCCUACCAACUUGUACUAUAGAAUAAACUAUCAAAUUCCAUAUCUUCCAUGGUGUUCUCAGAAGAAUGAGAUUCUGACACUCCACAACUAUCUAGCACAUAAAAUUUCUAUGUUCCAUUUUCUAGCCAAGGCCCUAAUCCUGACAGGUGGAAUUGGAAUACCUGGUUUCUGAUAGAAAUCGCUUUUGCGAGAUCUGCGGAGAUGGGGCAUGGUGUACCAUGAGGAGGAACAUCGCCGGUGGAGGGCAGCGCCGAGGCUAGGCGUGAGGUACAGGCUGUCGCGUGCGGCGGCAGUUCAGGCAAGAUCUGCGGAGUCUGGGGCACCCUCCUUACAGGUUGUCGUGGGCAGGGCAAGUGCAGGCAAGAUCUGCGGAGGCGGGGCAUGGUGUACCAUGGUGGACGUCCUCCUUACAACCUUAUAGAGUAGUAGUAGAUUGAUAAGCCUGACACAUAACGAAUUUUCUGUAAGAAAUAAGGAUGGAACUUAUUACUAAUGAUGUCUAUCAAAACGGAACUUUUUCCUACAGAAAGCAGAGCUGCUAUCUAACUUUCUAACUUGGCUGAACUGACAGCAUAGUGACAAAAUUCAUUGGCAAUAAGGUGUCUUAGAAAAACAAUCUGAAUCCAACAAUAUUGGACUCUUGUAGAAAACAAUUUCAAGACACAUGCUUUAGUGACCAUGCAAUAAUUUAAGGCUUCUUUGAAGAACGACAGGAUAUUGCACAUUGCACUAACAUAUGGCCAAUGUUGGUGAAUAAAAUGAGUUUCUUUCCUUCUAUAAAUAAUCCCCUGUCACUUAUACACACUAACCAUCCACUACAAAGGGCGAUGUAAGCUUAACAAAUUAAGCAUAAAAUCAGUUACUACUAUUUGUUAAGUUGAAUGGGUAAACUAAAAACAAUUACUAUUGUCAUUUGGUUGUAAAUAAAACAAAGAUAGAAUUCCUUUCUAAAAAGCUAAAUAAUACUUCAUGAAAUUGGGCAUGAAAAACUAACAAACAAUGCUUGACAUAUUUAUAUUAUUUAAGAAACAAGUUCAGCUCACUUGAGUUAGCACAUCUCACUAUCGAAAUAGGGCAGAUGAAAGGCUUGCUAUGGCCAUACAAUAUCAUGGUAACAAAAGGCAGAGUUAAAGAUAAAAGUAUAAAAAAGGGCAUACCUUUGAUAGAGUUUGCAGGAAACAAUGCUUUCAUGUCUAAAGGACACAAUGCAACAUCAUCACUGAGCUGGCGGAGCCUCAGAAUGAAAUAAAGCACAGUUGAGUAAUUACCCAAAAUCGAAUCUCUGUCACCGAAUUCCUGCAUUUUGUUCCUCCCUUCCUGUUCCAUCUAAUCAUAGUAUUCACGCUCCUCUGCAGAAAGAUCAAUAUAACAAGCCAAAACAGUUUGGAGGGAAGUUCAACCAUGCUCUUGUUUCCAUCGUCCAUCUCUUUGAUUCCGCAAUGAAAUAGCACCUAAGAGGUUCUGGAAUAAGCACACAAAAGAAACUCGAAAUUUGUGAGUGAAAGAUAAGUAUUUUAGAUCACUUUGAGCAUGCACUGUUUAAAACAACCAAAUUAAUCGAUGUCCUAUAUGGUGAAAAUUAAGAAGACAGGAAAAUUCAGGUCAACUUACUUGCAACCGUGACAAUCCAGUCUUACUUCCUUUCUCUAAGGGGUGCUGGAUCAAGCUCUGCCAGCAGCUCUUUAUUGAGAAAGGCUAGAAUCUCAAAAAUGCCAUGAGGGUGUAUAAAUCAAAUGAGUUGUUCUGAAUGGGUGUCCCAGUGACCACCCACCGCCUCUCUGCAUUCAGAGCGAUAACCGCCUUCGUCUGUCGUGCUGCAGAGUUCUUGAUCAAUGGCUUCAUCCAGGAUCACACGAAACCACUCGAUAUCCUUCACCGGUGAGUCCUCCUGCUCAAAUUCUGUCCCCAGAUGCUGUAGGUGGUAAGAACGAGGUCGUACUUCAACAGCUCCUUCUUAUCUCUCGUCCGUCGCCAUGGUACAGUAGACUUUCAGGCUGCCUGCUUUCAAGUACUCCUCCAGUUGUGUCACCCAAGAUGAGAACACCGAGGGUGGCAGACCACAAGUGUGGUCCGCGACCCCUCCCUCCGUCCUCAACCUUCCUCCUCUGCUCCCUCUAGCCUUCUUCGCACCCACAUUGCGAGCUUUAGUCCUUCCAAUCAAUGACAAGAGUGUAAGUGUCUUCCCUAGCCCCAUAUCAUCAGCGAAGAUCCCGCCCUUUAACAGCGACGGUCAUUUCUCCGUCUUUUGAUUGGUAAGCACGUUCUCGAAUCCCCAUCUUCACCUUCUUGCCAGAAGGGCGGCAGGUCGGCGGACUCCUCCGGUGCACCAUCCACCCAGCGCCUCCUUCUGGUGUCCGAGAGCUCGAUAGCACGACAUCCCGGGCGGGUCCAUGGCUGAGUCUGAUUCUUCCUUUCUUUCCCCACAAGCGAGAAGAGCUUAUCGACGUCGUGUCGCGNNNNNNNNNNNNNNNNNNNNNNNNNNNNNNNNNNNNNNNNNNNNNNNNNNNNNNNNNNNNNNNNNNNNNNNNNNNNNNNNNNNNNNNNNNNNNNNNNNNNUCUGGGCCGCUUGAAUCACCAGCUCGAACUGUGGCAGGACAGUGGCUUCUAGUCGUUGGAUCUCACGCACCAUGUCCACACUGAGGUAAGCUGAAGCUUUAGUAAGAAGCUCGUUGACAAUCGGCGAUGCUGCCCACCUUAAGCCGGCGAGCGCCAAGUCGGCCAUGAAAUUCAGUAAGAAGCUUUUUUUUUCUUUUUUCUCUGCAGACACAUAAAAUUAAUGAAUCUGAAUGAAAAAAAUGAAGCACAAACCAAUUAUUUUUCUUUCUCGCCAGAUCCAGCAACACAAAGGGGAAAUAGUAGCUAACACAGCAAGCGAAAAAAGUGGAGAUUGGAGAUCUUACACGAAGUAAAAUAAAUCAAGGGCGUAUGGAGUAGAAUCUGGAACAAGCACAGCACAGCAAGGAGGGAAGCAGCUCCGUCGGGCAGGGAACGGAGGAAUACCGGAUGGUGUUGCUGAUUGCUGGUGAUAGAUGAUUUGUUUUUUAUGUAGAAGAGACCGAAGGUGCCGUAGACUGCUGAGGGUCUACUGCUCGCUGGGAAAGGAAGCAGCAUGCAAAAGAGAAAGGUGAACAAGCGGUGAACAAGCGGAGUAGACUAGUCUAUGGAUUAGGACUGCUCUGAAUUAUUGUUGGGAGCUAGUGUAUCGAUUGGGACUGCUCUGAAUUAUGCAGUUCGAGUGAAUAAACACAGACAAAGAAAGCUUUUGGAGCUUUCCUUGGAGUCCCCUAUUUUUUUUAGACAUGGUUGUACGUUGCAAGAGGAGCUGAGCUUGAUAUGAAAGUAGAAGACGAGAUCCCCAUGAGUUGGACCAACAAUUCAUCUGGCCAUAAAAAUUGAGAGCUUCCAGUACAGACCAAAAUCCUAAAAAAAACUAUCUCUUUCAUUUCCAAUUUGCAUCCAGUCCUUAAGGCAUAGCAGUUCCUCUGCGCUUUCGGUCCUAUUUGGUUCCACUUUUCUAGAAUCCUAGAGAUAGACUCAAUACUAGGAACCUUCUGAUGAGGAAAAACAAGGCACUGGAUGAUUACAGUUGUGUUCCGUGUAAUAGUGGCUGUGUGGAAACAAGCCUCCACGUUUCCUUUGAAUGCAGUUUUGGCUUACUACUUUGUGCGUUUGUAUAUCUUUCCGGUCUCAAAAUAAAUUUUCAUAAGAGCCAACUUUUCUGUUAUGAUGCUACUAAAGAACGAGAAUUGGAAUACUCAGAAUUUUUUUAUGUAAUAAAGGGCAUUAUCCUUUCAAAUAUCUGGGUAUUCCAAUGCAUCACAGAAAGCUUAGUAUAAUGAAGAUUAUAAUGAUAUCAUAAAAAGAUUUAAGAAAAGAGUUAGUGGGUGGAAAGGGAAAAUAUUGUCUGUUGGUGGUCGACUAGUGCUAAUUAACUCCAUCUUAACAAGUCUUACGAUGUUUAUGUUGUCCUUUGAAAUUCCAAGGAAGGUUCUAGAGAAAUUAGAUCAACUAAGAUCUCGUUUCUUUUGGGAAGGAGAGGGGCAUAAAAAGAAGUAUAGAUUAACUAAGUGGAGUAUAGUAUGCACACCAAAAGGCAUGGGAGGAUUAGGAAUUAUAGACCUUGAUCUUCAAAAUAAAUGUCUACUAAGUAAAUGGCUUUUCAAGUUAAUUAAUGAAGAGGGUAUGUGGCAGUCAAUUCUUCGUAAUAAGUAUCUGAUAAAUAAAACAAUCACCCAGGUGGAACACAUGCCUGGAGAUUUGUCACACCCGGGUUUCGGGGCACCAAGACCCGGGCGCGAACAAUCACCAGGUGUGCUGGGACCAAGUCUCACACAUAUGAUGAAUCAUGGCACAUGAUCAAAUGUCACAACUUUACUAUAUAAUAGGAGUUCUAUACAAAAUAAAUAAAUAAAUACAUUAUAAGGAGACAACGGUCCAGCAACCCAAAGUUGACUGGGAGACGACGACCUAGACCUCUCACGAACUCGUCCUCCAUGCGCCUCAUCCUGUGGUACCUGUUCUUGACCUGUGGGGGGUGUGAGACAGCAAGAGUGAGCUCACAUACGUUCAUCGCUCAACAAGUUGUGGGGAAUAAUGUGCAUGAACUCGCCAAAGGUGGGAGCUCACGUGAAGUGUAAGGCUUACCAAAGAGGAUGGUUAGAGCUGAGCAUUGCUUUUAAAGUUGGUCAAAAUUUUAUUAGCAGUUACUAAUUAUAAGUAAAUACCAACCCAAUUAAGUAGUAGAACAAAGUAACAACAUCACCUGCAAUGCAAUGCAUAUGACAAAUUGAAUUUAAGUUCCAUAAUUUAAUCAUCAGAGAGUCCUGAGCUGCUCAUGACCGUGAGCUCGGCUAGUAUACCAGUUUUACACUCUGCAGAGGUUGUACCCUUUACCCACAAGUCAUGUUACCCAUCUACCAAGGAAUCGCGACUUCCCAUACACCUCUACCGAGGAGGCGAGGCAGGGUAACACUACGAGGCCUUUACAAAGUUCCACUAGCUUCAGAAAACCCGCUACAAUUUAUAGGAAGCUCCAAUGCAGGGUUCUUGCCUGAUCGCCAUCGCAGCAAAAUCAACCAAGGACCUCCCUACACUGACCACUCCCCUACUACCCUUGCCCCUUUCGGGUAAGGUAGUCCUCCACUAGCUUUCCUAAUUAAUCAGCCAAGGGCGUCCAUAAACCCUUGUGGUGGCACGUGUUUCUCAAGUUAAGCUCUAUGUUCCAAUUAACGUUAAUGAUCUUGACAUGAACAUAAAUAGAAUAACAAAAUAACUGGAACAUAGAUAUGAUAAAUAAUUAUCCCAAAUCCAUGUAAAGCAAUAGCAAACUACCCAAGUGAUUCAGGGGUAAACAAGGUAAUGAGAUAAACAAUCUAGGGUAACCUAUUGGGUCCCAUCAAAAUUAACCUAUGCAUGAAUAAAUGAUAUUAAAGAACAUUAUUGGGUAAAAAGUGGUCAAGGGCAUAACUUGCCUGGGACUUGAGAUUCCAGGUACCAGGAUGAUUCUUCAGAUCCUCGUGACCUCACUGCUAAUCGUAGCAAUACAAACAAACAUGGUAUAGGCAAAAUAAACAUCACACCAAACAUAAGAACAAACUACGUAAUAAUACUCUACGCGUUGCUACGAGAUUGUGGGAACGAGAACCACUAAAAUCGGAGUUACGGUCACCGAGUUAUGAUUUUAUGUAGUUAUUAAGUACCUAGAAUAAAGUAAUUCAUGUGAAUAAUUUUAAAUCAAGUUUCACGGUUAAAUAAAGGUACUAGGUGAUAAAAAUACUUAACCCAAAUUAAUUCCACUGGAAUGAAUCAAUUUGGAGUAAUGGAUUUUAAGUUAUGAAUUUCUAAAGGUUUUAUGUAUUUGAUACAAGAUUGAUUAAGAGAUACAUUUUAAUAUGAUUUUCAUGUCAAAACAGUGGUACUAGACGAUGAACAAUAAUAUUACAAAAUUAUAGGAACUGAAAUGAAUUAAUUUGGAGCUAGAAUGGAUUUUCUAUGAAUUAAAUAAAUUCUAGCUAUUAUUUUCAUAUUAAAAUCCAUUUCUAAAUUAAUUUCUCUGAUUUCUUAAUUCCCUGGACUGUGCCUCAAUUUCUACACAAGACAGGGGCCUCUGCGCAAAGGUCUUAAGACACAGAGAACAGCGCCCAAGGACGGUGGGUUCUAAUUCUGGCAAGUGGAGGGGCUCAGAUGCAAAACAGACCCGACGAAGGGGUAUUUAGGGUUUUCGGCCGUAGGAUUAGAUCUGGACGGCACGGAUUAAAUCAAUCUUCAUCUGAACCGGUACGGAUUGUAGUCCACAGGAUCUAGAUCUGAUGGCUACAAUUUAAUAAAAUGCGAUCUUCUUUGAGCCGUAGGAUAUCAGAUCUAUGGUCACAGGUCCAACGCCCUAGACGGUAUGCCCGAACUAAUCUGGACCGCCCAACCGUGGAUCCACGGUUCCGCGUUUGUUCUUCAUCCCUCAGCCUGAACACGGCCGCGCACCAGUGAACGACGGCGGAGCUAUCGCCGGAGUGCGGCGAUCCAUGGCACUGGUGCACUACUCCCCGAUUCGCAACACUCUACACAAAUCUCAGGCCAAAGCUAACCGCAGGGAAGAGGUCUCACCAGAAGUGAAGAUGGGGACGAGGUCGGACACGGUGUGGUGCGGAACGCUGGCAUCGAAGUCCCACGGCGGCGGCGAUCUGACGAGGCAGGCUGGUAGAGAGCCCGCGGCGCGAGGAGAGACAAGAGAGGGGUCGGCACGGAGGCGAGCACUAAGGCGGGAGAUGGCAAGGUUAGCAGCGGCGGCACGGCUGGUGAUAUGGCUCAGCGGACGCGGCAGCGACACCCACGACGCCGGGAGAUGGAGACCGAGCGGUCGACCACCAGGUGGAUUGCACGAGGAAGAGGAGAAGGCUGGGUGGGAGAGAAGGCAGGAGGAAGCCUAGCACACAACUUAUAGCCCCGCGCGGGUCAGUUCCGGUUGCAAGCAACGGACUCCGAGUUCCCUGGAGGUAAUACCGUGAGUUUGUUGCGUGAGGAGAUCACGGGGAGGAAGACGUAACGCCCGACAACCGGGCCCAUGUUGUCAGCCAGCAAGGCAGGGGUGGGCUGGCGCAAGUGAAAAGUGGGCCGGCCAGGGAGAUUUGGCCACACGGCUGAAGUGGUUUCUCUUUUUUAUUUUUCUCCUUUUUCUAUUUUCUCUCAUUUUCUAUUUUCAAGUUUCUCCAAAUUAGAUUUUAAUUUCUCAUUUGUUUUCAAAGUCUAACUCCAAAUCAAAUGCAUAACUCAUGAACUUCAGUAUGAAUGCAAGAAUAUUACUUUCAUUCUUUAUUUGCUUAUUAUUUAUUUCCUUCAAAUAAAUACUUCUUGAUAUAAGGAUAAACCAAUAAAUGGUUAUUUAUUUUAGGGAAUAUGUUCUAAUGUAUAACUACACCAAGCUAUGCUAUUAGCUUAAAUCUUUCAUGAGAGUACUUAUAAUUCAAUAAUGGGAUAACUAAUUUCAUUUGGGUACCUUUUUAAUUAACUCUUUAUUAUGAGGGAUAUUUAUUUUAGGGGAUAUGAUUUCAAAAAUAUUCUAAAAAAACUUUGGAGAAUUCUACCCAAUUCAAAAUGAGAUUUUUGAGGUGUUACAAAUCCUACCCCUUAACAGAAAUCUGAGAAAGGGAUGUUAAAAAAACUUUAUUUAUAGUUUAGCCUUUAACUUCUAAUUAGUUUAAGAAUAAGAAGUUUCAUGUUAAUUAGAAAGUGACUAGGAAAGCAUGGGUAUCUAUAUGUAUAGUCAUUUUAUUAUAAAAGAUGGGUAGGCUAGGGCAAGAAGAGCAUAUGGUAAGAAAGUUUAGGGUGAGAAAGAACUUUGUGCUGGAUGGUAGUGCAUCCGAAAGUCGAGUUUGACUUCUCUCCUUCCUUGACGAGGUUGAUCUUGUUCUUUUCCGGUCUUGGUCUCAUUGAGUCGGGGUCGGUGUAUAUCAUCAGAGUUGGGGGAAUAUGGUUAAGAUAGUUAUGGAUGAGAUAGACUACAUGACGUAGGUCAAAAUUUGGUUUGAUGUCAGGUGGGGGUUGAUAGAUUAUGCAAUCCAUCAAGACUCUAUUGGUUGUGUUAGAUCUCAUGCAUGUGGCUGAGUUGGUCUAAGACACUAGAAGUUUCAAGUGCAUGGGGGGUUAUGGCCUUAUCUUUUGUACCAGCAUUAAGUAUCUUACUUUUAGAUUAGAUCAUAAUAGAUUAGAUGGGAUCUAGAUUAGAUUGGUAUGACUAGUUUGACUAGAUAUGAUCUAAUUAAUUUGCAUUAGAUCAUGGUUGUUAAACUAAGGUGGAUAAGUAUGCUUAUUAGGAUAUGAUGGAUCCAUAAAGAUAGAAUCUUUUGAGGUCAGUUAGAUCUACUAGGGUGACAUAAUAUCUUUUCAAGAUAAGAUGAGUAUCUUUUUAAGAUAAGAUGGAUCUAUGAGUGUAUGAUAGAAUCUUUCAAGAUGAGAUAGAUAUUGUUAGGCUAGAUACUUUAAUGAGGUAGUUUAUCUAGUUAUUUUAUAAAUAUUUUUUAUACCUAUGUGUAUAUUCAGAUGCAAUUGUGGAUAUUACUCCACAACCCAUCACAUUCAAUCAAAGAUCCAAAUCAUACAAGUAUCAUAAGAACAAGCAAUCAAGUGUAUAGAUACCUUAAAAAAUAGUUUUAUUUUUGUUCCUAAGAGUAGGUCUCCUAUUACUAGAGAUCACUUUAGGCACAGGAUUUCAAAGUGUGAAAUCCACAUUGGUCUUUUAGAAAGAAAAGGUAAGAGUAAUCAGAGUAAAGCGGAAAUAGAUGAGAAAAGAUUAAUAAAAGUUUAGAAAGAAUCAGAGUAGUAGAGGUAAGUAGAUAAUGGUUAUCCUUUUCUAUCUAGGUUUCGUCCUACAAUCAACAUUCCUCUGAUACCACUUCUGUCACACCCGGGUUUCGGGGCACCAAGACCCGGGCGCGAACAAUCACCAGGUGUGCUGGGACCAAGUCUCACACAUAUGAUGAAUCAUGGCACAGGAUCAAAUGUCACAACUUUACUAUAUAAUAGGAGUUCUAUACAAAAUAAAUAAAUAAAUACAUUAUAAGGAGACAACGGUCCAACAACCCAAAGUUGACUGGGAGAUGACGGCCUAGACCUCUCACGAACUCGUCACAGCAUCCUCCAUGCGCCCCAUCCUGUGGUACCUGUUCUUGACCUGUGGGGGGUGUGAGACAACAAGAGUGAGCUCACAUACGUUCAUCGCUCAACAAGUUGUGGGGAAUAAUGUGCAUGAACUCGCCAAAGGUGGGAGCUCACGUGAAGUGUAAGGCUUACCAAAGAGGAUGGUUAGAGCUGAGCAUUGCUUUUAAAGUUGGUCAAAAUUUUAUUAGCAGUUACUAAGUAUAAGUAAAUACCAACCCAAUUAAGUAGUAGAACAAAGUAACAACAUCACCUGCAAUACAAUGCAUAUGACAAAUUGAAUUUAAGUUCCAUAAUUUAAUCAUCAGAGAGUCCUGAGCUGCUCAUGACCGUGAGCUCGGCUAGUAUACCAGUUUUACACUCUGCAGAGGUUGUACCCUUUACCCACAAGUCAUGUUACCCAUCUACCAAGGGAUCGCGACUUCCCAUACACCUCUACCGAGGAGGCGAGGCAGGGUAACACUACGAGGCCUUUACAAAGUUCCACUAGCUUCAGAAAACCCGCUACAGUUUAUAGGAAGCUCCAAUGCAGGGUUCUUGCCUGACCGCCAUCGCAGCAAAAUCAACCAAGGACCUCCCUACACUGACCACUCCCCUACUGCCCUUGCCCCUUUCGGGUAAGGUAGUCCUCCACUAGCUUUCCUAAUUAAUCAGCCAAGGACGUCCAUAAACCCUUGUGGUGGCACGUGUUUCUCAAGUUAAGCUCUAUGUUCCAAUUAACGUUAAUGAUCUUGACAUGAACAUAAAUAGAAUAACAAAAUAACUGGAACAUAGAUAUGAUAAAUAAUUAUCCCAAAUCCAUGUAAAGCAAUAGCAAACUACCCAAGUGAUUCAGGGGUAAACAAGGUAAUGAGAUAAACAAUCUAGGGUAACCUAUUGGGUCCCAUCAAAAUUAACCUAUGCAUGAAUAAAUGAUAUUAAAGAACAUUAUUGGGUAAAAAGUGGUCAAGGGCAUAACUUGCCUGGGACUUGAGAUUCCAGGUACCAGGAUGAUUCUUCAGAUCCUCGUGACCUCACUGCUAAUCGUAGCAAUAUAAACAAACAUGGUAUAGGCAAAAUAAACAUCACACCAAACAUAAAAACAAACUUCGUAAUAAUACUCUACGCGUUGCUACGAGAUUGUGGGAACGAGAACCACUAAAAUCGGAGUUACGGUCACCGAGUUAUGAUUUUAUGUAGUUAUUAAGUACCUAGAAUAAAGUAAUUCAUGUGAAUAAUUUUAAAUCAAGUUUCACGGUUAGAUAAAGGUACUAGGUGAUAAAAAUACUUAACCCAAAUUAAUUCCACUAGAAUGAAUCAAUUUGGAGUAAUGGAUUUUAAGUUAUGAAUUUCUAAAGGUUUUAUGUAUUUGAUACAAGAUUGAUUAAGAGAUACAUUUUAAUAUGAUUUUCAUGUCAAAACAGUGGUACUAGAUGAUGGACAAUAAUAUUACAAAAUUAUAGGAACUGAAAUGAAUUAAUUUGGAGCUAGAAUGGAUUUUCUAUGAAUUAAAUAAAUUCUAGCUAUUAUUUUCAUAUAAAAAUCCAUUUCUAAAUUAAUUUCUCUGAUUUCUUAAUUCCCUGGACUGUGCCUCAAUUUCUACACAAGACAGGGGCCUCUGCGCAAAGGUCUUAAGACACAGAGAACAGCGCCCAAGGACGGUGGGUUCUAAUUCUGGCAAGUGGAGGGGCUCAGAUGCAAAACAGACCCGACGAAGGGGUAUUUAGGGUUUUCGGCCGUAGGAUUAGAUCUGGACGGCACGGAUUAAAUCAAUCUUCAUCUGAACCGGUACGGAUUGUAGUCCACAGGAUCUAGAUCUGAUGGCUACAAUUUAAUAAAAUGCGAUCUUCUUUGAGCCGUAGGAUAUCAGAUCUACGGUCACAGGUCCAACGCCCUAGACGGUAUGCCCGAACUAAUCUGGACCGCCCAACCGUGGAUCCACGGUUCCGCGUUUGUUCUUCAUCCCUCAGCCUGAACACGGCCGCGCACCAGUGAACGACGGCGGAGCUAUCGCCGGAGUGCGGCGAUCCAUGGCACUGGUGCACUACUCCCCGAUUCGCAACACUCUACACAAAUCUCAGGCCAAAGCUAACCGCAGGGAAGAGGUCUCACCAGAAGUGAAGAUGGGGACGAGGUCGGACACGGUGUGGUGCGGAACGCUGGCAUCGAAGUCCCACGGCGGCGGCGAUCUGACGAGGCAGGCUGGUAGAGAGCUCGCGGCGCGAGGAGAGACAAGAGAGGGGUCGGCACGGAGGCGAGCACUAAGGCGGGAGAUGGCAAGGUUAGCAGCGGCGGCACGACUGGUGAUAUGGCUCAGCGGACGCGGCAGCGACACCCACGGCGCCGGGAGAUGGAGACCGAGCGGUCGACCACCAGGCGGAUUGCACGAGGAAGAGGAGAAGGCUGGGUGGGAGAGAAGGCAGGAGGAAGCCCAGCACACAGCUUAUAGCCCCGCGCGGGUCAGUUCCGGUUGCAAGCAACGGACUCCGAGUUCCCUGGAGGUAAUACCGUGAGUUUGUUGCAUGAGGAGAUCACGGGGAGGAAGACGUAACGCCCGACAACCGGGCCCAUGUUGUCAGCCAGCAAGGCAGGGGUGGGCUGGCGCAAGUGAAAAGUGGGCCGGCCAGGGAGAUUUGGCCACACGGCUGAAGUGGUUUCUCUUUUUUUAUUUUUCUCCUUUUUCUAUUUUCUCUCAUUUUCUAUUUUCAAGUUUCUCCAAAUUAGAUUUUAAUUUCUCAUUUGUUUUCAAAGUCUAACUCCAAAUCAAAUGCAUAACUCAUGAACUUCAGUAUGAAUGCAAGAAUAUUACUUUCAUUCUUUAUUUGCUUAUUAUUUAUUUCCUUAAAAUAAAUACUUCUUGAUAUAAGGAUAAACCAAUAAAUGGUUAUUUAUUUUAGGGAAUAUGUUCUAAUGUAUAACUACACCAAGCUAUGCUAUUAGCUUAAAUCUUUCAUGAGAGUACUUAUAAUUCAAUAAUGGUAUAACUAAUUUCAUAUGGGUACCUUUUUAAUUAACUCUUUAUUAUGAGGGAUAUUUAUUUUAGGGGAUAUGAUUUCAAAAAUAUUCUAAAGAAACUUUGGAGAAUUCUACCCGAUUCAAAAUGAGAUUUUUGAGGUGUUACAAGAUUCGCAUUUUUGGGCAGACCUGUUAGGUGUUAAGGAUAUCUUUCUUCGCCUAGGCCUUUUCAAAAUUGGGGAUGGGACUCAAGUCUGUUUUUGGGAGGACAAAUGGCGUGGUAACGCAAUGUUUAAGGAACUUUUCCAUGGACUCUAUGAUAUAGUCCGCAAAAAGAGAGCUUUUGUUGCUUCUGUUUUAAGAUCAAAUACAAUAAAUGUGGCCUUUUGUCGAUCCUUGGUGGGUAAUAAUCUUAUGGCUUGGCAGCAGCUCAUAGCCUUGAUUACCAAUACUCAACUAAACGAUCAAAGGGAUAUUUUUAUUUGGUCCUUACAUCAGCAUGGGAAGUUCACAGUGUGUUCUAUGUAUAGGUCUCUGGUUAGGCCACAAGUGGUUCCAAGAAAUCAUCCCAUUUGGAAAAUCAAAAUUCCUCUUAAGAUUAAAAUCUUUAUGUGGUACCUUAUAAAUAAUUUAGCCCUAACAACUGAUAAUUUAGUGAAGAAACAAUGGAAAGGCUGCCUACGAUGUGUAGCAUGUACGUUAAAUGAAUCCAUUCAACAUCUGUUCUUCGAUUGCCAUAUUGCUAAAUGUGUUUGGCGUUGUAUUCAAGUUGCGUUUAAUAUUUCACCUCCUAGGAGCAUUGAUCAUUUAUUGACACAGUGGCUUUAUGGGGUUGAUAUGAAACUUAGCAACAAAAUUUGGUUUGGAGCGAGUGCUAUAUGUUUUUUUAAUAUGGCUUUGUCGAAAUGAUGUGAUUUUUUAACAAUGCACAAGUUCCUACUCCUAUCAGGUACUUUUCAGGGGUACAUACUGGAUGAGAUAAUGGAUGCUGCUGCUAAAGGAAGAAGACAUAUUACAAGUAAAGCAGGGAUGUAGGCUGCUUGAAGUCGCAAUGAUGCAAAUCUUUGCUAAAAAUGGCUAGAACUUUAGUAAUCGAUUGUGCUUGUAAUCUGUAAUGUAGUGGUGGCAUCUAUGUUUCGAGUAUGGUUAUGUUCCUGUUUGAACCCAGAAUAUUUGGUGUACUAGACAGCUAUAUGCAUAUUGUCAUGCAGAGGCUGGAAUAAUCAAGUUAUUCCCUUUUCUAAAAAAAUGCUGGAACACAAUUCCCAUCCAACGGGAUCUGAGUCUACCACCUCUAGUCUCUAGACAUGAUGAUUGAAGCUUUGGUUAUCUAAUAUUCAGAGAAAUAGAUGUUACAGACGGUUAGAUUAUUUGGAGUACUUGCAAUUUAUAGCAUUAUCUUUGACAAUGUUUUCGUUUCAGACUUUGUCAGUUUCAGGACAUAAGACUUGGCACAUUGAAUAAUAGGCUACUGUGCCAAACCUCAAUCGCCGUGGAAUCAUCAAGAUCCAAUCAGCAACAACAAGUUUCCUGCGGCAAUCAACAGAUGUGUGCAAGAGGGCCUGCAAUUUUUUUGCAUGUCACGUUAAUUAGACUGCAACAUUCACAUUUCGAAACAUAAAAAAAACAUCACUGCACUGAACAAGUUGGCAAGCUCACUUUCAACACGGAGAGGUACGAAUCUCAUAAGACAGUGUACUUCCCAACCAUAGCAAUCCUCACCUAAGAUAAUCACCGUUAGUUGCAUGGAAAUCCUAAAACCACAUGAAGUAGAUACAGUCAUCGGCUAGCAGCAAGAAAUAUCGUUGCCCUGUGUGCGUCAGUGGAGUGAUUAGCCUGCAAAGGUGACCGUGGACGAGCUCCAGCGAGAUACUUGCUUGCUGCCUUAGGAAAGGAGCUUCCUCUGCUUCCCCACCAACCAUGUAUCUGCUACCUUGCCAUCCACCCGAGCACGUCG